UAAGGAAUAUUGGUCAAUGGACGCAAGUCUGAACCAGCCAUGCCGCGUGAAGGAUUAAGGCCCUCUGGGUUGUAAACUUCUUUUAUAGGGGAAGAAAUGUGACGGUUCUCCGUCACUUGACGGUACCCUGAGGAAUAAGCACCGGCUAACUUCGUGCCAGCAGCCGCGGUAAUACGAAGGGUGCAAGCGUUAAUCGGAAUUACUGGGCGUAAAGGGUGCGUAGGCGGUUAGUUAAGUCUGUUGUGAAAUCCCCGGGCUCAACCUGGGGAUGGCAAUGGAUACUGGCUAGCUAGAGUGUGUCAGAGGAUGGUGGAAUUCCCGGUGUAGCGGUGAAAUGCGUAGAGAUCGGGAGGAACAUCAGUGGCGAAGGCGGCCAUCUGGGACAACACUGACGCUGAAGCACGAAAGCGUGGGGAGCAAACA
rnacentral:rRNA from 1 species